AGGCCUGUCGUUCAACGGUUAGGACACUUGUCUUAUAAACAGGUGACAAUGGUUCGACUCCAUUCAGGCCUA
rfam:Microgenomates bacterium GW2011_GWC1_39_7b TT58_C0020, whole genome shotgun sequence.